GGCUCCGGCCCUAUCAGCCUGAAGGCGCCCGAUCUCGUCUGAUCUCGGAAGCUAAGCAGGGUCGGGCCUGGUUAGGAUCUUGGAUGGGAGACCACCUGGGAAUCCCGGGUGCUCGAGGCU
ensembl:rRNA 5S_rRNA 5S ribosomal RNA